GACGAACGCUGGCGGCGUGCUUAACACAUGCAAGUCGAACGGAAAGGCCCUGCUUUUGUGGGGUGCUCGAGUGGCGAACGGGUGAGUAACACGUGAGUAACCUGCCCUUGACUUUGGGAUAACUUCAGGAAACUGGGGCUAAUACCGGAUAGGAGCUCCUGCUGCAUGGUGGGGGUUGGAAAGUUUCGGCGGUUGGGGAUGGACUCGCGGCUUAUCAGCUUGUUGGUGGGGUAGUGGCUUACCAAGGCUUUGACGGGUAGCCGGCCUGAGAGGGUGACCGGCCACAUUGGGACUGAGAUACGGCCCAGACUCCUACGGGGGGCAGCAGUGGGGAAUAUUGCACAAUGGGCGGAAGCCUGAUGCAGCAACGCCGCGUGCGGGAUGACGGCCUUCGGGUUGUAAACCGCUUUCGCCCGUGACGAAGCGUGAGUGACGGUAAUGGGUAAAGAAGCACCGGCUAACUACGUGCCAGCAGCCGCGGUGAUACGUAGGGUGCGAGCGUUGUCCGGAUUUAUUGGGCGUAAAGGGCUCGUAGGUGGUUGAUCGCGUCGGAAGUGUAAUCUUGGGGCUUAACCCUGAGCGUGCUUUCGAUACGGGUUGACUUGAGGAAGGUAGGGGAGAAUGGAAUUCCUGGUGGAGCGGUGGAAUGCGCAGAUAUCAGGAGGAACACCAGUGGCGAAGGCGGUUCUCUGGGCCUUUCCUGACGCUGAGGAGCGAAAGCGUGGGGAGCGAACAGGCUUAGAUACCCUGGUAGUCCACGCUGUAAACGGUGGGUACUAGGUGUGGGGUCCAUUCCACGGGUUCCGUGCCGUAGCUAACGCUUUAAGUACCCCGCCUGGGGAGUACGGCCGCAAGGCUAAAACUCAAAGGAAUUGACGGGGCCCCGCACAAGCGGCGGAGCAUGCGGAUUAAUUCGAUGCAACGCGUAGAACCUUACCUGGGUUUGACAUGGAUCGGGAGUGCUCAGAGAUGGGUGUGCCUCUUUUGGGGUCGGUUCACAGGUGGUGCAUGGCUGUCGUCAGCUCGUGUCGUGAGAUGUUGGGUUAAGUCCCGCAACGAGCGCAACCCUUGUUCACUGUUGCCAGCACGUUAUGGUGGGGACUCAGUGGAGACCGCCGGGGUCAACUCGGAGGAAGGUGGGGAUGACGUCAAGUCAUCAUGCCCCUUAUGUCCAGGGCUUCACGCAUGCUACAAUGGCUGGUACAGAGAGUGGCGAGCCUGUGAGGGUGAGCGAAUCUCGGAAAGCCGGUCUCAGUUCGGAUUGGGGUCUGCAACUCGACCUCAUGAAGUCGGAGUCGCUAGUAAUCGCAGAUCAGCAACGCUGCGGUGAGUACGUUCCCGGGGCU
rnacentral:rRNA from 1 species